UCUCCCUGAGACUAUAAGUCUCCUGAAGGAACGUUGAAGACGACGACGUUGAUAGGCCGGGUGUGUAAGCGCAGCGAUGCGUUGAGCUAACCGGUACUAAUGAACCGUGAGGCUUAACCUUA
rnacentral:rRNA from 1 species